rnacentral:rRNA from 1 species
UACGUAGGGUGCAAGCGUUAAUCGGAAUUACUGGGCGUAAAGCGUGCGCAGGCGGUUUUGUAAGUCUGUCGUGAAAUCCCCGGGCUCAACCUGGGAAUUGCGAUGGAGACUGCAAGGCUAGAAUCUGGCAGAGGGGGGUAGAAUUCCACGUGUAGCAGUGAAAUGCGUAGAGAUGUGGAGGAACACCGAUGGCGAAGGCA